AUGUGGAGAGGCCGAACACGUUCCCCCAGUCUACAACGCCUCGCUGAUUCCCUGAAACAUCUUCAAGGGGUACUCGAACCGUGGGGUGUAAAGGAGUUUGGGGGUUUAACUCGCAAAGUUCGUCAGUUGCAGAAACGUUUGGACAAACUUCGGACGUGUUCAGUUGGACGUGUCCCCAAUGACGAGGAAAGGAGUAUUGCCCAAAAGCUACGUGAAGCAUUACAUCGAGAAGAGAUCUGGGCCCGCCAGCGCUCGCGGAUUCCUUGGCUACGAGAUGGCGACCGUAAUACAGGAUAUUUUCAUGCUCAGGCAGCUCAAAGGAAAAGGAUCAACAAAAUGCAGGGCCUAAUGCGUCCAGAUGGCUCGUUUUGCAUGAAUGAAAGUGAAGAUAAGUACGUUCCUGUCAAAAUCUCUGAGGAGAUGAAUAGGGAACUUACGAAACCUUUUACACCAGCAGAGGUACGGAAAGCUUUAUUCCAGAUGGCGCCUACAAAGGCUCCUGGAGUAGACGGGUACACAGCUGGGUUCUUUCAGCGACACUGGGCACUUGUUGGCGAUGAUGUGACUCAGGUUGUGCUUGAUUUUUUGAAUGGAGGCGAAUUAUCGGCGGGGCUCAAUGAUACUUCUAUAACACUUAUCCCUAAGGUAGAGGCCUUCAAUGAGAGAUACUUGGGUCUACCCACUGCGGUGGGGAGGAUCACUAGCGACACCUUUGAGUAUAUCAGUGAUAAGGCGAAAGGAAAAAUACAAGGGUGGUCUGAGAAGCUCCUUGCUUGCACAGGUAGAGAAACCUUGUUGAAAUCAGUUGUGCAAGCAAUUCAGACCUACCCGAUGAGUACUUUCCUCUUCACCAAGAAGGUAUUUUGGGACGAUAAAUGGAUUCCAGGAACGAGCUCCAUGAAACCGAUGGUGAGACCAGCCAACACCACUGUUGACAGAGUUGCAGAUUUACUGGAUCCACAGAUUGGUAGAUGGAAUGAAUCGUUGGUUCAUGACACGUUCAUUGCAACUGAUGCACAGGCAAUUCUUAAUAUUCCUUUAAGCAUGAACGGGCGUGCGGACUCCCUUGCGUGGGCGUUUGAGCGAUCAGGCUUAUACACUGUUAAAUCAGCGUACCGUAUUCUUAUGACUCAGAAAGAGAGUGCAGCUCUCGACGAAGGAACGGCUACGGAAACUUCAAAUGAAGAAAAACAUAUGUGGAAGGCUCUGUGGAAGCUCAAUGUUGUUCCUAAACGGAUCACGGACAAAGAUCGGCCCAUCAUUAUCACCAUCAUGUGGAACAUUUGGCAUUCUAGGAAUCGGGUGAAGCAUGAUGGUGCAGCUCUUGAUCCGGUGACUAUAGCAAGACGUACGAGAGAAGUGAUGGCAAUCCUUGAGCUACCAAGGAAGGAGCCGGUGGUAUUACCUGGCCACGGCUGGCGACCGCCGGAGCAAGGCAUCAUCAAGAUCUCAACGGAUGAGGCACUGAACUUUGAAGAAGGCCGAGGAGGAGGUGGGGGCGUUGCUCGCACAAAUACCUCUUUGCUUGCGGCAUGGUGCAAACCUCAUCCAGGAAAUUUCGGACCCUUUCAUCAUGGAAGCUAUUGCUAUACAUGA
rnacentral:rRNA from 1 species